ACGAACGCUGGCGGCGUGCCUCAUACAUGCAAGUAGCACACACAGUUUAUACCGUAGCUUGCUACACCAUAGACUGUGAGUUGCGAACGGGUGAGUAACGCGUAGGUAACCUGCCUGGUAGCGGGGGAUAACUAUUGGAAACGAUAGCUAAUACCGCAUAAUAUUGAUUAUUGCAUGAUAAUUGAUUGAAAGAUGCUAUUGCAUCACUACCAGAUGGACCUGCGUUGUAUUAGCUAGUAGGUGAGGUAACGGCUCACCUAGGCGACGAUACAUAGCCGACCUGAGAGGGUGAUCGGCCACACUGGGACUGAGACACGGCCCAGACUCCUACGGGAGGCAGCAGUAGGGAAUCUUCGGCAAUGGACGAAAGUCUGACCGAGCAACGCCGCGUGAGUGAAGAAGGUUUUCGGAUCGUAAAGCUCUGUUGUAAGAGAAGAACGGGUGUGAGAGUGGAAAGUUCACACUGUGACGGUAUCUUACCAGAAAGGGACGGCUAACUACGUG
rnacentral:rRNA from 1 species